GAAUCAGUUUGGAGUGGGCAAAUCUAUUGUGGGUGCUGCUGUGAUUCAAGUAGCCAACGCAAUCACUAAGCUGUUGCUAUCAAGGAUAGUGACUCAGGGAAAUGUGCAGGUCAUAGGGAAUCCCAUUGGAGC